rnacentral:rRNA from 1 species
UACGUAGGGUGCAAGCGUUGUCCGGAAUUAUUGGGCGUAAAGAGCUCGUAGGCGGUUUGUCGCGUCUGCUGUGAAAACCCGAGGCUCAACCUCGGGCCUGCAGUGGGUACGGGCAGACUAGAGUGCGGUAGGGGAGAUUGGAAUUCCUGGUGUAGCGGUGGAAAUGCGCAGAUAUCAGGAGGAACACCAGUGGCGAAGGCGGAUCUCUGGGCCGUAACUGACGCUGAGGAGCGAAAGCGUGGGGAGCGAACAGG